UCUGAAUAAAGUAUGGAGUUGAAU
rnacentral:piRNA from 1 species